rnacentral:tRNA from 1 species
GUGGGUACAGCUCAGUGGUAGAGCGCUUGCUUAGCAUACAUGAGGUCCUGGGUUCAAUCCCCAGCACCUCCG